GUCAGAAUGACCGAGCGGUCUAAGGUGCCAGACUUAAGUAUAGCUUUGUAAGCAUUCUGGUCCUCUCUGAGGGCGUGGGUUCGAAUCCCACUUCUGACA
rnacentral:tRNA from 1 species